CCGGGGUCGCCGGGUUGGCGACUUUGGCACUCUUGGCGUUGGGUGGGCGGUAUCUUGGGGGGGUCACGUGAGACAGUGGCAUCAUGCCCGAGGGCGCUGGAGUCAGCGUCGCGGCUUUUCCGGACGUUCGUCGGCCAGGAGGAAGGGCAGAAAGCACAUCUCGGAAAGGUGGAAGGACUAUCUCCCAGUUGAACAGCGGAUGCCUGGGACUCGUUUCCUUGCUUUCAAAGUUCCUUUAAAAAAGUUUUGAAAAGAAUCUUGCUCCAGAAGAAUGAUUUUCCCCCUUGGAUCGUUCUUAACAAACUCCAGGAACAAAAUGAAGAACUUGGGCUGAUUAUUGACUUAACAUAUACUCGCGGCUAUUAUAAGCCAGAGGACUUACCAGAAACUAUUCCUUAUUUAAAAAUUUGUACAAUUGGGCAUCAGGUGCCAGAUGACGACACUAGUGUUAAAUUCCAGUGGGAAUUUAAAUGGGUUUCUGAAAGAAAAUAAAGAUAAUGAUAUUUGAUUGAUGUAGAAGGCAUGUGGCCAGAUGAUGCAAUUGGAUACUGGUGUUUUAUCCUUGCAAGUUCUCCGUCAUUCCAUAAGAGAGCUGCUCUUCUUCUGGUUUCAUAAGAGAUGGGGAUGCAGGUUCGAUCCCUGGCUGAGGAACUGAGAUCCCCCAUGCCGCAGGCCAACUAAGCCCGCACGCCGCAACUACUGAGCCCACGUGCUGUGGAGCCCACGCGCCACAACUAGAGAGCCCACGAGCCGCGAGGAAGAGCCCCAGCGCUGCAACGAAGAGCCCACGUGCUGCAACUAAUACCCGAUACCACCAAAAGUAAAUCAUUUAAAUAAAAUCAUAUGAGUGAAUGAACAUAAUGCCUUAAGAGAAACAAACAGGAAAAGGAAAAAUUUUUUUGAAGAUAAAAAGGAUUUUAGAGAAAUGGAAAACAUAAAAGAUAGGCAAAAACGAGCCAGGACAGCUCUGAGAAAAGUAAUAUAAAUAUGUAUAAGAAUCUAUUAUACCAUAAAAGUGACAUUUCAAAUCAUUGGGACAGAUUAGUCAAUAAAUUGUGAUACAUACAUGUUGAGGUAUAAAUAGUUCUCUGGAAGGAUCUACAGCAUGGCAAAAGCAGAUGUCUCUGAGGAGGGAAAUGUGUGGCUGGGGCACGUGGGGAAAAGGGUGACUUUUCGUUGAAUGCCCUUGUGGACCUUUUCUAAUGUUCUGUCAUGUGAAUUUAUUACCUCUGAAGUUCGCCUGAGUUCAAACCCCAGUUCCCCCAGUUGCUAGCUCUUAAUCUUGGGCAAACUCUUCACACUCUCCAAGCCUCUUUAUCUGUGAAAUAAGAUCAGUAACUUAGCCUGGUGCUGCCUGGCACAGAAUAAACUGUCAAUAAAUGGAGAUUAUUAGUGUAAAAAACCCAAAUGCCCAUGAAUGGAUGAAUGGAUUUUUAAAAUGUGGUGUAUUUGUGAAUUAUUAUACAGUCAUAAAAAGGAAUGAAGUACUGACACAUGUUACGACAUGGACGAACUUGAAAACAUUACGCUAAGUGAAAGAAGC